rnacentral:rRNA from 1 species
GCAAGUCGAGCGAGAAAGCACUUCGGUGUGAGUAUAGCGGCGGACGGGUGAGUAACGCGUAGGAAUCUACCUAGUAGUGGGGGACAACCUGGUGAAAACCAGGCUAAUACCGCAUACGCCCUACGGGGGAAAGCGGGGGACCUUCGGGCCUCGUGCUAUUAGAUGAGCCUGCGUAAGAUUAGCUAGUUGGUGGGGUAAAGGCCUACCAAGUCUACGAUCUAUAGCUGGUUUUAGAGGAUGAUC